rnacentral:lncRNA from 1 species
UCUUGAACCUAGAUGUAUUCCUAAACAAGAUCCCAUACUCACCUCCCCUCUUCUUCUUAAACCCAUCACACAACACCCUCCUGCUCGAUUGAACGGCUGGCGACCACCACCGUCUGGUGGCGGCGGCACACGACAGCGACAGGACGAAGAGAGAGAGAUGAGAGAGAGAGAUCGGAGCUCGAGCUAGGAGAGAAGGACGCACCGACCGGCGGCGAUAGCCGCGUUCAGCAGCGGCGGAGUUCAACGGCGGCAUCUCGACUUCGGUAUUCCUUCCCUUUUAUCUUUUCGGAUUUUGUACAACAAUUUCGUCAUAAUAAGUAACAUAUAUAAACUUAACAGUGAGUGUUCGUUUUGAAUUCGCUAAUGAAGAAGAUGAUAAAGUUUGGUUCCGGUGCACGCCAUUCUCGUUGCGGAGCAAGAGGAAUCACUGGAAAUGUUUAAAGUUUACGUCGGUCUCGAGUCGUUACAUGAUCGGUAUACUUUCUUGUCCUUUUCAUUUUCGUUUAAUUCCCCGUUGAAUUCUUAUAUUUAUAAUCAUCCAACCAAACCGGAACAAAGAUAUAUAUGAUUAUAUGUAUACAUACUCGUAUAUGUACCCGGUUCUGUUGUUUUGUUAUUAUGAACCGGACGACAUGUUUGGAUGUUUUUUUAAAACCAAAUUGUUUGUUGUUGUUUUCAAUAUUUUAUGAAAGGGAUGAACUUGGUUGAACUUCUAUCUAAUAAUUUUCCAAGUUUAAAUGUUGAAGGUCUGCGUUUUUCUUUUUUUUUACAUUGAAGAAGACAUGACAUCAGCAAGCUAUGAUUCAAAUAAAAUGUCAACACAAACUAUUAAACAAAGAAACCACAUAUCAGUGGUUGAGUAAUUUGUUAAUGAAAUUAUUUUUAAUUCUUUUAUAACAUAAAAUAGUGAUAAGAUUAGCUUAUAAAUUGUAAAUAAUUAAAGAUGAAAUUAAUUUGGGAAACAAUUCAAAGUUUGGAAUUCUAUAUUAACUUAUAAAUAAUAAUUAGGACGUUCGCGUAUUUCAUAUCUAGGAUAACCUCUCUCGUCCGUUCUCUUGGAUUUCCCAACCCUUACUCGUGCGCUAUUUCAAGGAAAUCGCAUACGCAACCAAUGUGAGUAUACUCGAUCCCUUUUUCCCCUUUACGUUUUGGGAUGCAACAUGUAUACCUAUUCAAAACAACUCUUAUGCUUAAACAAAACAUACUCUAUCUAUGAACGUGACGUGAAACUAUUGUGAAUAUUUGCUAUGCUUGUAUGCUCUAUGAACGAUUUGGAACGUUAUAUGCUCAUUAACUUUGCUAGCCCACCUUAACAAUUAUAGCGCUAUAGGAUUGACGCCCCGCCCGUUAUUCUUGUGGGUAUUGUUAAGUUAAACUUAACCACCCCGCUAAACUUUUGGGAUUAGGCUUGUUAUGCGUUGUAUUCUUGGGUUUGAUCAUACUGUACGCCAAAAAUUGCAUUGCUAGUAAAUUAUUCAUUAUGUAACAUGUUGGAUAUGAGUUUUUAUUCUAAUAUGCUAUGUAGUCAAACUUGUAUACUCGCCUUUGCUUUUGCAUUGAACUCUAUUUUAAUACAUGUUGCAGGUUAAUUGUUGAGGUGAUACUUCAAGAUGAAACGAGAUUUAGGGUGGACUAGAUACACACCUAGAUUAAUUUAUCUUAUAUUGUUAUGUUUUGUUACGAAACAAUGUUGUAUUUUUUUUUAUUUGAAUCUUGUAUGACGUUUAGUAUUGAAAUGGAAUUUGAAUU